rnacentral:sRNA from 1 species
UAUGAUCCUCACGAAUCAUGAUUACGAUCAUCAAAACAACAAACUCCUCAUGAAUCCAUGACCAUGUGCACAAGGGUGAGGGGAAUCUACGGGACGUGGGAAUACCAAAAUACGGCCACGAGCCAAUAACUGUCCCAGAUCUGGGUUGGGAAUGGACAACAAGGGAGCGCAUUCAGCCCUUUUUGGCCUUCUCCCAUACAGCUGGAGCUCAAAUUCCCCCUUGUCACUUCCCCAUCCCAUAUAGUAAAGCAGUUGCUCUCCAAUGUAUACUUGUCUACAACAUCUACUUCAAUUCAUUUGUCCUCGUGGCAUCCGUGAUAACACUGCUUUCUGACGAAACACUGGACCGGAAAAAAUAGAUACUAUAUCAUUCGAUGAUUCACGGCGUUGCUGGGAGUUGAUCUAUUUUUGCCAAUUCGCGGAGUGAGUGGCAAAAUCAUAACUCAGUUGUUCAGCUCUCUGGGUUCUGGGUUGGACGAUGCGAUACAAGUUAAUUACCCGCUUAUUAUUGAAAACCCAAGGAGGGGGAUCAAUGUGCAAUUGGCUCGGAGCGAAUGUUAUCAAAAGGCACGACUACCCUUUCUUUUAGGUAUUGGUAAUUACACCCGGCCCAGGGGCCACUUUUUUUUGAUAAGUUUAGUGCAUGCACAGCUUCUAUCUUCUAAAUUUCCUGAAACAUAGGAUUGACCUUGGAUCUUAAGGUACGGUGAUUUUUGCUGAUGAAUGUUAUUGAGAGGGGAGUAUGUGGCGGAAGAAUGAAAUUAUUUGAAACAUCAUCACUAGGGUAUAUAUGAACUUGAAAAGAAAAGCAAAAGAUUGUCUAUCAAAGUUCACAUUUGCUCUGCAAGGGACUUCUACAAAGGCAAAAUGGCGAGGCUGACAAUUGCAAGCCACACCAAAAUAUAUAUAUAUAUAUAUAAAUAAUCAAGGCGUACACAGAGAGGGAGGCAAUGCAAAGACUCUCAGCCUCACACUUCACUUCUAACAGGGUUGGAUGAUGGGAGGCGGGGAAAUUUCGGUAGGCCAGGAUUGAAUGGCACAGCAAGGCUUCUCAAAGUCUCGCCUUGCGAUCCGCCUCCUCCUGCAGCUUCUUUACUCUAUCCCACGUCACCAAGGCAAAAGGUUUCAUUUGCUUUGCAUAUUCACUUGCCCGGGCGCUACUCGCCUGUCUAAGCGCAUACCUGGCUGCGAUGCCUUGC